CAAGAAGUAGUUUAACUAGAAUAUCA
rnacentral:tRNA from 1 species